CACGUAGGGGACGAGCGUUGUCCGGAAUCACUGGGCGUAAAGGGCGCGUAGGCGGCCUGAUAAGUAGGGGGUGAAAUCCUGCGGCUUAACCGCAGGGCUGCCUUCUAAACUGUCAGGCUAGAGCACAGUAGAGGCAGGUGGAAUUCCCGGUGUAGCGGUGGAAUGCGUAGAGAUCGGGAAGAACAUCAGUGGCGAAGGCGGCCUGCUGGGCUGUUGCUGACGCUGAGGCGCGACAGCGUGGGGAGCAAACAGG
rnacentral:rRNA from 1 species